rfam:Triticum aestivum genome assembly, contig: Triticum_aestivum_CS42_TGACv1_scaffold_457740_5DS
CAUGUACUCUCUCCGUCCCAAAAUUCUUGUCUUCGAUUUGUCUAAAUACGGAUGUAUCAAGUCACGUUUUAGUAUUAGGUACAUCCGUAUCUAAGACGAAUUUAAGACAAGAAUUUUGGGACGGAGGGAGUACUUA